rnacentral:lncRNA from 1 species
AAAGAACAUGCACAAAUAUCAGCAAUAAUGAAACCCUUGUUGAGUGGCCCAAGUAAUUUUGCUGAGAAGAAAAUCAUUGAGGUCAAUGUGAGAGACAUCCCUUCAAAAGUACUGCAAGGAGAGUGCACAUAUUUUACCUACACAUAUUAGUACAUCCACAGCUCCACAGGGAUUUUUAAAUUCCCAUUUCACCUGAAACUACACUAGAACUUCUGAUGGCUUUGAACUUUCUUGAUUGU